GGGUACUGGGUACAUAAGACAAAUGCUGCAGUAGCAUACCAAGGCAGAAGACGCUGACUGUGACAGAACAGAGACUGUGAGCCUGACAUACCUGAGGAGGCCAGUCACCUUCCAGGCUCCCGACAUCUCAGGCACAACAUGGAUUCUGGAGAGCCUUUGGGCCUUCUGUCUCGCCUCUACAUCUAUGCCAUCCAUGGGUAUGUGUGUGAGAUCCUCUUCACUGCAAUCUUUGACUUUAUUACGUGCAACAGAAGAGACUGGAGGCUUCGUGGUGUGUCCAGUAUUUGGGCGCUCUUCAUCUAUGGAGUGGCCAUGCUGGGAGUUGAGUAUAUGUACCUAUCGUUGAGGCUCCAGUAUUGCUUCAUCACCCGUUCUCUUCUCUACAUUCUCUGGAUCUACCUCUGUGAGUUCAGCUCUGGAUGGAUCCUCAGGUACUUUAGUGCUUGUCCGUGGGACUACAGUCACUAUAAAUAUAACUUCAGGGGCCUGGUGACCCUGGAGUAUGUCCCCUUCUGGUUUAUCGGCUGCAUCCUCCUUGAGAAAAUGCUUAUCUGGCACACAUUACGCUUGCGUCUUGAAGAAAGCUGGGAACCAGAGCUCCUGAAGAUGGCCUAGGCAUUUCGUCAUGGUCAGGGGAUGAGCAUGUUACACCUGAAAUGUGAAGUACUGAGGACACGGAAGAGAGAAUGAGGCAGGGUCUAAGGCUAGGGCUACACGACAAGCUGGAUGACUGUUGCAGUGCGACACCAUAGACUAUCAUUUCAAUAAAUGUCGAGCCAUAUUGGUGCGACACAUGUCGCAACGUAGUUGUACACUUUUUGUUGCCGUGUAGCCCUAGCCUAAAACUAGGCCUCAAGAAGACUGCAAAAUUACUUAGGUUAGCAUGGUGCGUCCUUCAUCAAUCAACCACGUGGGUUGCACCAAUACAAUGAAUACUUUCAAUCUCUAUCUCAGUGCACUUUAUAGUUAAGACCAGUGAUCUCCAACCUGUGGUCCUCAAACUGUUGAAAAACUACAACCCACCGCCAUCCCGUCCUGAUAGCUUUGCAACGGCUGGAGGGCCACAAGUUGGAGAACAUAGGAAUAUGUAGAUACAGUAAAUGGAAUAAUGUGUUGUUUUCUAAUAUGUCUUCUAAUGUUGACCAGGUUUAGAGAAAGGAGGCUGUUUUUUUUUUUUUUCAUAAGAAACAGCGCCACUCCUCCACAGGUUGUAUGUGGUAUUGCAGGUAAUCCCCAUUCAACUGAAUGAGGUUUCGCUCCAAUGGACAAGCUACUGGAAAUAAGCAGGUCCUAUUUUCUAAAAUUUCUAUAGACUGAUGAAUCAAUGGAUAAAGAUGGACAUUUGCACUAAAUAUAUAUUCAUUUAGUUUGCUAUGCAUUUGAUGAAAGUGUGGACGAACCUCCCCGCUGCCUGUACAGGAAUCAUAGCUGAGGGUGAUCCCAUAGAAGAGCAAGAACGUGCAAGGAAAUCAGAAUUCCCUUAGACCCGUUGGGGUUCCUCCAUAGGCGGUGUACAGACCAUCACUUAUAGAAGCCAGUACUCUGCUGACAGACUGGAGGAGCACUCGCAGGGUCCGCAGAGGUGUGUCAUGAGGAGCCUUGACGAUACUGUGUACGUCCGCCAUACUUACCACUGCAAGUGGAUCUUGUCUCCAUGUAGCCCUGGCCUUAAAGGGAUUUUCUCAGAUUGGUUAAAAAUCUGCCCAAACGGCAAGAAAUGCUAUAAAAUAACCACUACUCAC